GGUGAAGCCUGCGGUUCAAUUGGAGUCAACGCCAGGAAACUUGCCAGGAGAGACAGCAGGUUGAGGGUCAAGCUGAAGACUUUACCUGACGAGCUGAGAGGAGGUGCAUGGCCGUCGCCAGCUCGUGCCGUGAGGCGUCCUGUUAAGUCAGGCAACGAGCGAGACCCCUGUUGGUAAUUGCUAACUGUUCAGAGAUGGAUAGAGGCUAGUUACCAAGACUGCCGCUGCUAAAGCGGAGGAAGGAGGGGGCCACGGCAGGUCAGUAUGCCCCGAAACUCCUGGGCCACACGCGGGCUGCAAUGGUAAGGACAAUCGGUUCCGACCUCGAAAGAGGAAGGCAAUCCACAAACCUUACCCCAGUUGUGAUUGAGGGUUGAAACCCGCCCUCAUGAAUAUGGAAUCCCUAGUAACCGCGUGUCAUCACCGCGCGGUGAAUACGUCCCUGCUCCUUGU
rnacentral:rRNA from 1 species